rnacentral:misc_RNA from 1 species
GAUGAAGAACGUAGCGAAAUGCGAUACUUGGUGUGAAUUGCAGAAUCCCGUGAACCAUCGAGUCUUUGAACGCAAGUUGCGCCUCAAGCCAUUAGGUUGAAGGCACGUCUGCCUGGGCGUCACAUAUCGUUGCCUGAUGCCAGUUUCCUCGUGAUGGGUGACUGUGCAGGGCGAAUGAUGGCUUCCCGUGAGCAUUGUUGCCUCAUGGUUGGUUGAAAAUUGAGUCCUUGGUAGGGAGCGCCGUGAUAGAUGGUGGUUGAGUGACGAACGAGACCCAAUCAUGUGAGACCCCUACCGAAUUUGGCCUUCAUGACCCACAUGCGUCUUUGGAACGCUCAUGACGAGACCUCAGGUCAGGCGGGGCUACCCGCUGAGUUUAAGCAUAUCAAUAAGCGGAGGA